rnacentral:rRNA from 1 species
UGAGGAAUCUUGGACAAUGGGCGCAAGCCUGAUCCAGCCAUGCCGCGUGCAGGAAGAAGCAUCUAUGGUGUGUAAACUGCUUUUGUACGGGAAGAAACACUCCUUCGUGAAGGAGCUUGACGGUACCGUAAGAAUAAGGAUCGGCUAACUCCGUGCCAGCAGCCGCGGUAAUACGGAGGAUCCAAGCGUUAUCCGGAAUCAUUGGGUUUAAAGGGUCCGCAGGCGGUCUUAUAAGUCAGUGGUGAAAGCCUACAGCUCAACUGUAGAACUGCCAUUGAUACUGCUAGACUUGAAUUAUUAGGAAGUAACUAGAAUAUGUAGUGUAGCGGUGAAAUGCUUAGAUAUUACAUGGAAUACCAAUUGCGAAGGCAGGUUACUACUAAUGGAUUGACGCUGAUGGACGAAAGCGUGGGGAGCGAACA